rnacentral:lncRNA from 1 species
GCUGUCGUCGAGACCAGGAGAGGUAUAAAAGGAGUGGCACUGUGCUUAAAAGUCCUUUUGUAUGCAGAACGUCGCCGCUUUUGAAACUCGAAUUGCUAUUUGCAUUGAAAUUUGAAUGGUGGGAGAUGUAUCUAUCUUCUGCUGCCAGGCUAUAUGAUGUAUGCAGCUGUCAUCACAUGUACUUACCUAAGUCUCUGCAUGCACUGGUCCUCAAUUUUUUAAAUUCAAGAUGGCCAAUUGAUUGGACGAGAUGGUAUAAGGAAAUAUCGUCAAGCUAUGCUUCUUCACUCAUGGUUGUUGUACUGCAGCUCAACUUUUGCUAUAGAAAGGUUUCAUUUAUAAUGGCAAGUUGGAUUGAUUAUCCUGUUGAUGGACUCCUUUAAGGUUUUGGUUUGGCCUAUGUAGCCAUAUUUCUUAAUUGGAACAUGCUAGGGGAGGUGUGUUAUGCAUGAGCAUAAGUAUAAGGAUCGUGUCGAGAUGAAGUGGAACAGUACUUUGAUGGUAAUUUGGAACCCUGGUUGAUGGGAGUUGGUUGGGUGUCCGAAAAUUUCCAUACAUUUCAUAUGCAUUUUUACAAAAGAAAAGUAAUUGUGUAUAAGUUUUUCGUUAUAUGAUGCAAUGUUACCGCAUGAUGAGCCUUGUGAUAAGCCUGAAACGUCCUGUGCCGACACUAUCGGCAGUAUUUAUUUUUCUGAUAUUUUUUGUGUGUAGAUGAAAUGCUCCAAUGAAACCGAUGCUAGGUUAUGCCAUUAUAUAAUUGACAGCACUUGAAACGACCCCGAAGCUUUACGUAUUUAUCACCUGUUUCAUUUUUCAAGUGAAAAAAAGAAAUAAUGUUUGUGGCCGUGUUUCCCCAUGACUUGUGAUAACGCUGAACUUAUUUGUCGCAGCACUGUAUUGACUCAAACUUGUAAAUCGUAUCAGAAUUGAAAAUAAACACAUUUUAAAGGA